rnacentral:rRNA from 1 species
UGCAGUCGUACGCUUCUUUUUCCACCGGAGCUUGCUCCACCGGAAAAAGAAGAGUGGCGAACGGGUGAGUAACACGUGGGUAACCUGCCCAUCAGAAGGGGAUAACACUUGGAAACAGGUGCUAAUACCGUAUAACAAUCGAAACCGCAUGGUUUUGAUUUGAAAGGCGCUUUCGGGUGUCGCUGAUGGAUGGACCCGCGGUGCAUUAGCUAGUUGGUGAGGUAACGGCUCACCAAGGCCACGAUGCAUAGCCGACCUGAGAGGGUGAUCGGCCACAUUGGGACUGAGACACGGCCCAAACUCCUACGGGAGGCAGCAGUAGGGAAUCUUCGGCAAUGGACGAAAGUCUGACCGAGCAACGCCGCGUGAGUGAAGAAGGUUUUCGGAUCGUAAAACUCUGUUGUUAGAGAAGAACAAGGAUGAGAGUAACUGUUCAUCCCUUGACGGUAUCUAACCAGAAAGCCACGGCUAACUACGUGCCAGCAGCCGCGGUAAUACGUAGGUGGCAAGCGUUGU